UAUAUAUAUAUAUAUACACGUACGUAUAUAACCCCUCGCACUGAAUCAAAGCCUGGCAUCUCAGCUCAAUUUGAGUCUUUUUUGAUUCAGUACAGCUUGCACAUGUGAGCCCAUUAUUCCCAGUGUACACAAGAUGGUGCUGAUAAGAUAAAAAGUGAGAGGGGUAUUGCUACAGAUCGGAAGCCUAGUGCAUGCUCUAUCAAGAUAAAAUAGUUCUCCCAUUACUGCUGUUUGCCCUGGAUGCUUCUCUUUGGCACAAAUAUAUACAGCACAAUUGUGUCUACUAAUUUUCAACAGCUGAAUUUUUCAGCCUCACAUGCAUGUCCAACACUGCACCUUUCAAUGCAGAAACAUUGCACAACAAAUAUCAUCAUUCACACUGCAGGUAUUCCUCAAAAAGCUUGUUUUCCACUCGCCCUCUCUCCAUGAAACUAUUGAUAGAUAUAGUUUUUAUCCAAUCCAAUACUUCCCACAAGAAAAAUGUCGCCUCUUUUUUAAAAUCUGCCUUUAAAUUUGAAAAUAUUGGAUAUAAUCUAACGUGAAUUCUUUUCACCUUUUGCCUUUUUGCUGAGUUGAGGUCCUUUGUCGUCAGAUGCAGAAAGACUAUUUCUUCUACACCUUUUUGACAUUAUAGAAAAUGAUGUACAAGCUGCUGAAUAAAUGUUCUUGAACUCAGUUCGGUGUGCAGUAAAAUAUGAGGUUAUUGCUUAAUGACUUAAUCGUUACUCUUUGGCUAAUCUCUACACACAUAUAGGAUACAAUAUGAACACAUUCAAGAGUACUGCUCCUCAGAAACAGUUAAACGCAUGAUCUUCCGAUGACAGCUUUUAAAAUGAGACAGAAGAGACUUGAAUAGCCUAUGCAUUAAUGAAAUGUCAGGUCCUGGCGGGUGUGUGAUUGUGCGAAACAGCGUUACACUCCACAGGAAAGCUGGAGGACAGCAGUAAUUAGUAUGAUACAAAGAACCAGCGCAUAUCAUUUUGAAAUGCCAUCCCGCGUGUCUGUGUGUGUGUUUGUGUGUACUUGUGGGCUUAUACUCUGUGUAUUCCAUGCGACUGUGUGUGUGUGUGUGUGUGUGUGUGUGUGUGGGAGGAGGGGGGUUGUCUACGUAUAGGUAGUAAAGGAAAUGUGAAGUGAAUAUGAUGAUACAAGCAGCAUGCUGCUGCUCAGCAGCAGGUGGAUUGUUGUGUCACUGACAGUGAAUCAUCACCGAGUGCUGCUCUUUAUUAAACCUGACCUCUGAUCGCCACAUGUCCACAGGAUAUAUAUAUAU
ensembl:lncRNA